rnacentral:rRNA from 1 species
UACGUAGGGGGCAAGCGUUGUCCGGAUUUAUUGGGCGUAAAGCGCUCGUAGGUGGUUCGGUAAGUCGGGUGUGAAAUCUCCAGGCUCAACCUGGAGGGGUCAUUCGAUACUGCCGUGACUAGAGGUCGGUAGGGGAGUGUGGAAUUCCUGGUGGAGCGGUGAAAUGCGCAGAUAUCAGGAGGAACACCCGUAGCGAAGGCGGCACUCUGGGCCGAUACUGACACUGAGGAGCGAAAGCAUGGGGAGCGAACAGG